rnacentral:rRNA from 1 species
AACGAACGCUGGCGGCAUGCCUAAUACAUGCAAGUCGAACGAGAUCUUCGGAUCUAGUGGCGCACGGGUGCGUAACGCGUGGGAAUCUGCCCUUGGGUUCGGAAUAACAGUUAGAAAUGACUGCUAAUACCGGAUGAUGACGAAAGUCCAAAGAUUUAUCGCCCAAGGAGGAGCCCGCGUAGGAUUAGCUAGUUGGUGAGGUAAAGGCUCACCAAGGCUACGAUCCUUAGCUGGUCUGAGAGGAUGAUCAGCCACACUGGGACUGAGACACGGCCCAGACUCCUACGGGAGGCAGCAGUAGGGAAUGUUGGACAAUGGGCGAAAGCCUGAUCCAGCAAUGCCGCGUGAGCGAUGAAGGCCUUAGGGUUGUAAAGCUCUUUUACCCGGGAUGAUAAUGACAGUACCGGGAGAAUAAGCCCCGGCUAACUCCGUGCCAGCAGCCGCCGUAA